rnacentral:rRNA from 1 species
CUGAGCGCAGCCUGAUGCAGCCAUGCCGCGUGUAUGAAGAAGGCCUUCGGGUUGUAAAGUACUUUCAGCGGGGAGGAAGGGAGUAAAGUUAAUACCUUUGCUCAUUGACGUUACCCGCAGAAGAAGCACCGGCUAACUCCGUGCCAGCAGCCGCGGUAAUACGGAGGGUGCAAGCGUUAAUCGGAAUUACUGGGCGUAAAGCGCACGCAGGCGGUUUGUUAAGUCAGAUGUGAAAUCCCCGGGCUCAACCUGGGAACUGCAUCUGAUACUGGCAAGCUUGAGUCUCGUAGAGGGGGGUAGAAUUCCAGGUGUAGCGGUGAAAUGCGUAGAGAUCUGGAGGAAUACCGGUGGCGAAGGCGGCCCCCUGGACGAAGACUGACGCUCAGGUGCGAAAGCGUGGGGAGCAAACAGGAUUAGAUACC